rnacentral:rRNA from 1 species
UGCGUAGGCGGGCUGAUAAGUCAGUGGUGAAAUCUUCCGGCUCAACCGGGAACCUGCCAUUGAUACUGUUAGUCUUGAGUUCGGCUGAGGUAGGCGGAAUGUGUAAUGUAGCGGUGAAAUGCUUAGAUAUUACACAGAACACCAAUUGCGUAGGCAGCUUACUAGACCGACACUGACGCUGAGGCACGAAAGCGUGGGGAGCGAACAGGAUUAGAUACCCUGGUAGUCC